UCCGUAGGUGAACCUGCGGAAGGAUCAUUAUGAAUUAUUAAUAUUUGUGAAUUUACCACAGCAAACAUCAAUCAUACAAUCAAUAAUUAAAUAAUUAAAACUUUUAACAAUGGAUCUCUUGGUUCUCGCAUCGAUGAAGAACGCAGC
rnacentral:rRNA from 1 species